rnacentral:rRNA from 1 species
CCUACGGGAGGCAGCAGUGGGGAAUUUUGGACAAUGGGCGAAAGCCUGAUCCAGCAAUGCCGCGUGUGGGAAGAAGGCCUUCGGGUUGUAAACCACUUUUGUACGGAACGAAACGGUUCGCUUUAAUACAGUGGGCUAAUGACGGUACCGUAAGAAUAAGCACCGGCUAACUACGUGCCAGCAGCCGCGGUAAUACGUAGGGUGCGAGCGUUAAUCGGAAUUACUGGGCGUAAAGCGUGCGCAGGCGGUCAUAUAAGACAGUUGUGAAAUCCCCGGGCUCAACCUGGGAAUUGCAUCUGUGACUGUAUAGCUAGAGUACGGUAGAGGGGGAUGGAAUUCCGCGUGUAGCAGUGAAAUGCGUAGAUAUGCGGAGGAACACCGAUGGCGAAGGCAAUCCCCUGGACCUGUACUGACGCUCAUGCACGAAAGCGUGGGGAGCAAACAGGAUUAGAUACCCUGGUAGUCCACGCCCUAAACGAUGUCAACUGGUUGUUGGGUGCAUUAGUACUCAGUAACGAAGCUAACGCGUGAAGUUGACCGCCUGGGGAGUACGGCCGCAAGGUUGAAACUUAAAGGAAUUGACGGCUGGAGAGNGCCGACGACGACGACGAGGGAGGAGG